rnacentral:rRNA from 1 species
ACUUACGGCUAUAUUACGUUUAAUUUACCGGAUCUCGUCCGACAACCGAUGUUAAGCAACGUUCAGCCUAGAUAGUAUUUCGCUGGGUGACCGCUCGGGAGCCUUAGCGCUGUAAGCA